GUUAGGAAUAUUGGACAAUGGGCGCAAGCCUGAUCCAGCCAUGCCGCGUGAGUGAUGAAGGCCUUCGGGUUGUAAAGCUCUUUAGCCGAUGAUUAUAAUGACUGUAGUCGGAAAAUAAGCCCCGGCUAACUUGGUGCCAGCAGCCGCGGUAAUACGAAGGGGGCGAGCGUUAUUCGGAAUCACUGGGCGUAAAGCGUGCGUAGGCGGCUUUGCAAGUUGGGAGUGAAAGCCCAGGGCUCAACCCUGGAAUUGCUCUCAAAACUGCAAGGCUCGAAUUCGGGAGAGGAUAGCGGAAUUGUCAGUGUAGCAGUGAAAUGCGUAGAUAUUGACAGGAACACCAGUGGCGUAAGCGGCUAUCUGGACCGAUAUUGACGCUGAGGCACGAAAGCGUGGGGAUCAAACAGGAUUAGAUACCCUUGUAGUCC
rnacentral:rRNA from 1 species